rnacentral:rRNA from 1 species
CCUACGGCGGGGCAGCAGUGGGGAAUAUUGGACAAUGGGCGAAAGCCUGAUCCAGCCAUGCCGCGUGUGUGAAGAAGGCCUUCGGGUUGUAAAGCACUUUCAGUGGGGAAGAAAGCCUUGGGGCUAAUACCCUCGAGGAAGGACAUCACCCACAGAAGAAGCACCGGCUAACUCCGUGCCAGCAGCCGCGGUAAUACGGAGGGUGCGAGCGUUAUUCGGAAUUACUGGGCGUAAAGCGCACGUAGGCGGUCUGAUAAGCCGGUUGUGAAAGCCCCGGGCUCAACCUGGGAACGGCAUCCGGAACUGUCAGGCUAGAGUGCAGGAGAGGAAGGUAGAAUUCCCGGUGUAGCGGUGAAAUGCGUAGAGAUCGGGAGGAAUACCAGUGGCGAAGGCGGCCUUCUGGACUGACACUGACGCUGAGGUGCGAAAGCGUGGGUAGCAAACAGGAUUAGAUACCCUGGUAGUC